rnacentral:rRNA from 1 species
CCUGAUCCAUUCCGAACUCAGCAGUGAAACGGUGCAUCGCCGAUGGUAGUGUGGGGUUUCCCCAUGUGAGAGUAGGUCAUCGCCAGGC